AGAUAAAGCAGAGAGAAGAGAUGAAGUCUCCAAACUAUACUUUCUCUGCCCAGUCAGUGCUGAAAACGUACCCUGUAGAUUCAGUGAGUCAUUUCCUGCUGAUACGCACAGAUUCAGAAACAUCCUCUCAGCAUUCCUCCUUCCUGUGAAGUUAUGAGAAGACCCAAAUCUUAAUCCAUUUCACCAUCACAUGCGACAAGUGCCCUGGAUGAGAAAUGAAAUUGAUUGUCUGUUUCGCCUUCGUGAAGGAAAAACAAGAAAGAAAAGGAUAUCCAACAACCCUUUAAUGGUAGCAAGAAGAAAAAUGUACUGAAGGACAGCUGAAGCCACAUUCUCAUUUCUACCAAGGAAUGUCGACAGAUGAGCCAUUGAACUACUCUUAUCACUGGAGAAAACAAGUCGUUCUUGGUUUGUAUGCUCCUACUCUGAGGAUUUAAUCCAGCCCUUUGAGGGAGAGAAGAGAAGCGGAGAGUCUCUUUCAUCCUUAUGAGCUUACGACUGCCUGUUGCGAUGGCCAGCACUCUAGCUCAGCAGGCGGAUAGACAGGUACUUUUGGCUGGGCUGAAUAAUAUUAAGUGAAUAUGAACAUGGAUUAA